rnacentral:rRNA from 1 species
GAUGAACGCUGGCGGCGUGCCUAAUACAUGCAAGUCGAGCGAACAGACGAGGAGCUUGCUCCUCUGACGUUAGCGGCGGACGGGUGAGUAACACGUGGAUAACCUACCUAUAAGACUGGGAUAACUUCGGGAAACCGGAGCUAAUACCGGAUAAUAUAUUGAACCGCAUGGUUCAAUAGUGAAAGACGGUUUUGCUGUCACUUAUAGAUGGAUCCGCGCCGCAUUAGCUAGUUGGUAAGGUAACGGCUUACCAAGGCAGCGAUGCGUAGCCGACCUGAGAGGGUGAUCGGCCACACUGGAACUGAGACACGGUCCAGACUCCUACGGGAGGCAGCAGUAGGGAAUCUUCCGCAAUGGGCGAAAGCCUGACGGAGCAACGCCGCGUGAGUGAUGAAGGUCUUCGGAUCGUAAAGCUCUGUUAUUAGGGAGGAACAAAUGUGUAAGUAACUAUGCACGUCUUGACGGUACCUAAUCAGAAAGCCACGGCUAACUACGUG